ensembl:snRNA U6 U6 spliceosomal RNA
GUGCUUCCUUCAGCAGCACCUAUACUAAACUUGGAAUGAUAUGGAGAAGUUUAGCACAGCCCCUGUGCAAGAAUGACACACACGUUCAUAAAACAUUUCAUAUAUUU